GGUUCAGCACACGCAACCAACGCGUUAUGUUACGUACUCAGAAUUGCCUUGUCGCCCAUCUUCCUAACUCCGUCCAACUGCUAAACAUCCCAAUAGAAUUUAGUUUGCUUCCCCUUUGGGAAAGGCAAAAGCUUUCCAUUGUCUCCAUGCGAAUAUUCUCUGCCUCAGCACCCACUUCUCCAUUUGAUGCCAAACCCAAAUUAAUAUUAUCUGCUUCUUUCUGUGAUUUCCAGUCCACCCUCAACCCUCAAUGUUUUAAGGUGGUUGAUUCUGGAUGACAAAGUCCAAGGGAAGUCGUAGUCUUGCCCAGCAAGAUCAGGGGAAGAUGACGAGAACUAGAAGAUAUAUAAAUCCAUGCAUGCCAUGUUAUCUGGUGUCUAAAAGGGUUAGCAGAUGUCUGUUUGUAUGUUGUUUCCCUGUUUUGCAGUGCCUUGGUUUGGAUGACCAUAGACACCACCAUCACCACUUGAGCCAUUUCCGUUGAUUGAUUCACCUCCUAUUACCGACAAAUUUAAUUGCUUUGGUAUGCCAAUUUCAACUUAAAUCUUUGAUCUUUGCUUAUUUGGAGACUGAUGUAUAUAUACAUGCUCGUUAUUGAAUUGAAUACUCAUUCUAUCAAUAUCCUCUAAUGGGUAGGAAGGAAACAGGCAAGUGUCUGUUUUAAGCUACUCAUAAUAGUUUCUUGAUAAGAAUGCACAAGUCAUUAAAUGAAAUUAAAUUGUCCUCUAAAUAGUUAAUGCAAAAGUCAGAGCUUUGAACAAAAUCAAAAUGAGCUGUUUGCUUCAAGCUAAACCAAGUUGAUCUGAUAACAAAGGUAUGUGGUCUCCAGUUAAUGACCACCCUAUUUUUAGUCUUCAUGGGUAUUGUUCCAAAGUUCUUUUUCAAACAAAUUUGUUGUCAUCUUCUGCAGCUCAUUAAAUCAGACCUCAAUUUCUUCACAUCUGACUGCUUG